UGGAUCAAAUCUCGCACCAAGAGUCGAAAACUUGUCACUGAUUACGACAAGAAAAUUGCAGAGAAGAUAGCUCAAUUAGAGGAGAAGCUUAGUCAGGGACAAAUUCAGGUCCAGGGCCAAAACGAUAUCCUGACGCAGGCGCUCGGGACACCAGAGCAUCCUGGACGUGUCAGGGCUGCUGGGUUCCUGACCAGGGCAUCUAAACUGUUCGGCAGGAAGAAAAGGGAAGUGUCUGAUGUUGUGGCUCGGCAAGCGAAGGAGAUUGAAAAAUUAAAAGCCGAAGUCCAAUCCCUUAAGAAGAAGAGAAACGCUGCCGAACAAGAGGAAGAAGGAGAGGUGGCUGGUGAGGCGUAUGUUCCACAACCAUACGCUCCUGAGGAUGAGGGACAACCACAAUCUUAUGCUGAGGAGUUUAUU